rnacentral:lncRNA from 1 species
GCAUAUAAACACAAAUCAUAUCAAAUAUCGUACACAAUCAUAUAUCUAUUAGUUUAACUAUUUCAUCCUCCAAAUCUCAAUUUCAUUAAUAACUCAUUGGAAUAAUUUCCAUAUGGCUACUCACAAUUUAACUCCCUUAGGCCCAUUUCUCAUUUACUUCAUUGUCAAAUUAGGGAACAAUAAGGGAAUUGAGUGCUUCAUUAUUACAUUGCCAUAGUAAACUAUGGACUUUCACAUUGUUACGCAUCACACACCGAAGCCAUAGCCUUGCCAUGGUCUUACACGGUUCACAUAUCAUACCGAAGCCAUAUCCUAGACAUGGUCUUAUACGGAAUCACAUUAUCACAUUAUACCGAUGCCAUAGCCCAGCUAUGGUCUUAUACGGAGUCACAUUAUCACAUUGCACCGAUGCCAUAGCCCAGCUAUGGUCUUAAACGGGCACACUUAUCACAUAUUUUUCGUCAAUUCAUCAGGGUCACAGAAUAGAAGCACUCAAAUCCAUUGUUCCUACUAAUUUGUACUUUUAGUUACACAUUAUUCAUUAGUUAAUGCAAAUUGAUAG